AUGGCUGGCAUUUUAAAUCCUGCCUGGACGGCUGGACCAGUCAUGACUUGCGUGCCUCUGCUCGCCCAGACCCAGAGGUCGUAAACAACGGGCUAACAAAGUCUUCUCGCCCCAUUUCACAUCCCCAUCUCAAGAACUACCAGUCCCCUUCCUUGGUUCCUCCUCCUGUCCCCCUCUACCAUGGCCCAAUCUUGGGCCUUCUUCCUGCUCCUCGUCCUCUGCUUCUGCUUUGUGUCCGACCUCAUCUGCAGCAGCAAUGGGGAGAGGGUCUUCCUCUACCCGCAGUCCCAGAAGGUCUCCUCCAUCGUCAGCCAGCGGUACCGCACCGCCUACCACUUCCAGCCCCCCAAGAACUGGAUCAACGAUCCAAAUGGGCCAAUGUACUACAACGGCAUCUACCACGAGUUCUACCAGUAUAACCCCAAUGGCUCCGUAUGGGGUAACAUAGUUUGGGGCCAUUCGGUUUCGACAGACCUCAUCAACUGGAUCCCACUUGAAACAGCAAUAGAGCGGGACACCCCGAGCGACAUAAAUGGUUGCUGGACCGGCUCAGCCACAAUUCUGCCCGGUAACCGACUGGUCAUCAUAUACACCGGUGCCGACCCGGAGAAGCGUCAGGUCCAAAACAUUGUGGUUCCAAAAAACCUGUCUGACCCGUACCUGAGAGAAUGGACCAAAGCCGGAAAUAACCCGGUGAUCCAACCGGUCGGUCCGGGCUUGAACUCGGGCCAGUUCAGGGACCCGACAACCGGUUGGAUCGGACCUGAUGGGCUGUGGAGGAUAGCAGUUGGUGCUGAGCUCAACGGCGACAGUGCUGCACUUUUGUACAAGAGCAAAGACUUUCUGAACUGGACUAGAGUUGACCACUCACUGUAUUCAUCCAAUUCCUCCUCUAUGUGGGAGUGCCCGGAUUUCUUCGCGGUAUUGCCGGGCAAUAACGGCGGACUGGACCUGUCUGCAGCGAUCCCGAAUGGUGCCAAGCAUGUCCUCAAGAUGAGCCUGGAUUCCUGUGACAAGUACAUGAUUGGGGUUUAUGAUCUGAAAAGUGACAUCUUUAUUCCAGAUACUGUCCUAGAUGACCGGCGGCUAUGGUCGAGGAUCGAUUAUGGUAAUUUCUAUGCCUCAAAGUCGUUUUUUGACUCGAAGAAGGGCAGGAGGAUCAUAUGGGGUUGGACUAACGAGACAGAUAGUUCUUCGGACGAUGUUGCAAAAGGUUGGGCAGGAAUCCAUGCAAUUCCUAGGACGAUUUGGUUAGACAGCCAUGGCAAGCAGCUGCUGCAAUGGCCAGUUGAAGAGGUCGAGUCCCUUCGAGGAAAUGAAAUCAACCAUCAAGGACUAGAGCUGAAGAAGGGAGGUCUGUUUGAGAUUAAGGGAGCUGACAGUUUCCAGGCUGAUGUGGAGAUAGACUUUGAGCUGACGUCCAUCGAUAACGCCGAUCCUUUCGAUCCCUCCUGGCUUUUGGACGUCGAGAAGCAUUGCCGGGAAGCGGGUGCAUCAGUCAGUGGUGGCAUAGGGCCAUUUGGACUUGUUGUCCUGGCCUCUGACAACAUGGAGGAGCACACUGCUGUGCACUUCCGGGUGUACAAGUCAGAGCACAAAUACAUGAUACUCAUGUGCUCUGAUCUAAGAAGUUCUUCAUUGAGACCAGGACUGUACACACCAGCCUAUGGAGGCUUCUUUGAAUAUGACCUGGAAAAAGAAAAGAAGAUAUCUCUGAGAACUCUGAUUGAUCGGUCGGCGGUGGAGAGCUUCGGCGGCGGCGGCAGGGUCUGCAUCAUGGCCAGGGUGUACCCCGUGGCGGUUGUAGAUGGUUCGGCCCACAUGUAUGCCUUCAACAACGGCAGUGCCACGGUCAGGGUGCCACAGCUCAGGGCCUGGAGCAUGAGGAGAGCACAAGUGAAUGUGAAAGGGAUGGAGUGAUGAUGGUUAACAAACCAGAGCAACUCUAAUUGACCUAUGAUUGGAGGACCGGAUCAAUCAUUCUGAUCACUUGUUUAGCACACUUCACUAUUUUGAAAGAACAAAUUACUCCCAUUCAUGAGCACUUCUAGUAGGUAGAAAUAAAUGGAAAUUCAACAGGGAAGAAUUAGCUGCUCAUUUCCUUGACCUCUAGGAUUCAAUUUCAUGUAUUAUAGUCUACCGGUACUUGGUCACUAAGAAGGAAAAAAUGUCGCUGUUUUAAAGUAGUAGUAGUUGGCAAUUGGUAAAGAAACAUGACCUUUUUUCUCAGCAUCGGUAUUACCGCUUCGAAACGAUUCAGAGUUACAAAAGGUAAUAAAUAGUACCACCAGCUUGUGCAUGUCAG
rnacentral:rRNA from 1 species